rnacentral:rRNA from 1 species
UCGAACAGACCUAAAUUUUUAGCUUCUACACCAAAAUUUAAUUUUAAUCCAACAUCGAGGUCGCAAUCUCUUUUUUCGAUAUGAACUCUCAAAAAAAAUUACGCUGUUAUCCCUAAGGUAAUUUACUCUUUUAAUCUAAAUAUUAGGAUCAAAUACUCACAAAUCAAUGAUUUAAUACAAAAAAAGUUUAUUUAAUUUUUCAAUCACCCCAACUAAAUUAAUUAUUCUAUAAAAUUCUAUUAAUACUAAAUAAUUCCAUAUAAAAUUAAUUAAACUCUAUAGGGUCUUCUCGUCUUCUAUAAUUAUUUAAGCUUUUUAACUUAAAAAUAAAAUUCUAACUAAUUUAGAUAGAGACAGAUUUUUUCACAUCAAACCUUUCAUUCCAGCUUUCAAUUAAAAAACUAAUGAUUAUGCUACCUUUGCACGGUCAAACUACCGCGGCCAUUUAAUUUCUCAUUGGGCAGGCCCGACCUUAAAUUAUUAACAAAAG